CUGCACUUUCACAGUUUUGGAGAGCUGGCUGCUUCUGACCUGUGUGUUGAAAUUCAGAGGAGCUGUCGAGAAUGGAAACUCACACAUUAGUGAAACCCUCAAGCAGCGAGGCCGGGGAGUCGGAAAUGCCUGCGAGAGCACAAGGGAGAUUCCAAACUGUACUAGUGUGUAAAACUGGGGGAGCAGCGCUUCAUGUUCGGGGGUUAUCUUUUUUUUUUGUUUUGUAAUUCUCAACACAACUGAUGUUAAUAGUUUUCUAAGGGACCUCAUUUAUACAGACUUGCAUGGAUGUCUCGUUCAACAACAUCCAUGCAGUUAAUGUCAAUUUACUCAAUGAGAUCAUUGUAAUCACUGACAAAACUUAUUCAGUUUUGUGGAUGUAUAAGCUACAUAGCAGCAUUCAUUUGCAAAGUGAAAUAUCUUUCGUGGAAUCUAUCAAAAGUUAUGUACAUUUCCUAAGGCGUUUGCUUUGAAAAUCAUUUCUGCCUAUAUAUAGACUAUAAUGUCAGAGUCUUCAAUCAAACAGGGAAUAUUAUUGAAAUGUACAAUACUGUCAUCUGUUCUGUUAAAUGUAUAUAUUAUUACUUUCUACAUGCUCGUAGUCUGAGUACCAUGGCAGCAACAGAAGAUCUGACGAUGGUCUUUUUUUUCUGAAAGUGUGUUUAAAAAGUCAAACAUUACUUAAAGAAACCGAUUUCCUUUGCUAAGGUCCUUGACUUGUGCAUGUUCUUUCUGAGGACACAAUUUCUGUGUUGUAGAUAAGCAAGUGUUGUAAAUAGUUAUUUUCUAAUCAUCUGUCAAAAGACCCCAGUUGAUUCUGCUGAUUCUGUUUUGCUCUCAUUUUCUUCAGUCGAGUGUUGGCUGAAAUGAACCUGACAGAAAGGAUUUAUCUGUUAAUGCAGGUAGAGCUGUAUCGGCAUAGUGCAGAUGUCCCUCAUCUUCUCUGAAAAUAAAGUUAAAAGGAUCAUCCUCAACAGGAUCAUUUUCAGGAUAUUUGCAUUUGUACAGAUAUACAAUAGAUGAUCAAAUAUUUUUAACCAGAUGACUGUCAUUAAACUCUC
ensembl:lncRNA